UUUAUUCCAUAAAACUACCAGUCUACAAUACAACACUCACAAAGGUCUACAAAGCUAACAAGUACAUAGCCUAGAUCGUUGACCACUGGCACUGGGCUUUUCCAAAUGCGUGGCGGUCCUCGUUUAGAAAGGUGUUGGGCCAGAAAGCCCAAUCUUCUGUAUAUCUGAGACUGAUGUUUGCUACUAAGAGGUCUGUCUCUGACUACUAAAUCGCCUCUUCAAAGAAUUAACUUCAAGGGUCGCAUCAUUACAUUGUCUUCAUGAUCCAAUAUAUGGCAAUGGUAGACGUAACCAGGCUCUGCAGUUGCAUCAAACGCAUAAGAUGCAUUCGAGUGGAUGUAAGCAAAUCUCACUAGAAUCUUUGUCACAUACCCUGGUGUCAUCUUAUACACGUUCUUCCACCCUUUCUCUUGUGCUGGCACCUCUAACUUCUUGCCGCUUGCAUACUUGUUUAUUUUGCAUUUAAUUGCAUCGUUCGAUUUAUUCAUGCAAGCUUUAAACUCCUCUAUAUUGAUCAACUCCGUUUGAUCCAUCACCACGAAUAAUCCCAAAUGAAUAUGCAAUGGAUGAUUAUCCUCCGUUAGAUUGAUCACAUUCCAUACCUCUGUGGUCCCUUCUUUUGGGGUUUCAGUCACUGGUUCUUCGUAAGGUUUGCCAUUGAUAUAAAGAUGAAUUGGCUCAUCAGUGUUGCUUGUGUACUCGUAUAGAGCGAUGUAUCGAGUUUGUGAUGCACUGGAUAAUUCUGGAGAAGGAUAUUUUAUCAACUUUUUUGGCACUCUCCACGUGUCCACCUCCUUAUCCUUCUUGAUGAUGAACUUCAUCACCUUCCCAUUCGCUUCAUUGACUGGGUCCCCGUCUGGAAAGGGAUACUUUGCAUUAUUGGCUAAAAUAACAGUGUCUGACUUUGACUUUGAAAAGUCAAUAACCACAUCAGCAAUUUCAGAUGGAGCUAAGAGGAUUUCAUUUGUCACUACAUGUUCUUCAAGAUAUACAGAGUCAGCUGCCACGUAGAUAAAUCUAAGACCGUUGGUGAAAAAGAAUCUGAAAAAUCUAGCAUUGCUAGCAUUUAUAAUGCGAAAUCUAUAUUUACGACGUCGUACUGUCGCAUGUGGCCAUGCCUUGCCAUUGACAAUAAUUGCGUCCCCAAAGUACUCCGGUUGCCACUGUGGAUGUAUGGAGGGAUUGUUUCCAGUAGAAUUCAUGUAUAUGGAACCAUUGAUGCGAAAGCUCCGAUCAAACACCAUCAAAGUCCGAUCAAACUCAUCGCCGUAAGGUAGACCAAGUGGGCCUUCAACCUUAGGGUGGCGAAUAAUGUAGGCUCCAACCAAGCC
rnacentral:misc_RNA from 1 species